GUAUUUAUUUAUUAACAGUAUGGAAGAUCGUUGUGGACGAUAUUUCAAAAGAUGACAAAGUUUUAUACCAUGAACAUUCCACCACGUAAAACGAUAUUUAACGAAAACAUUUUUAUGUUGUCUUUUCUCCAUAAAGCGUGGACCAACAUUCACCACAAGUAGAUAAAUCAGAGAGGCAAGUAAUGGAUUGGCUAACGACGAUACAAGCAGCCAAUCUUUUGUUCUGGGAUCUACAGUUGAUAAAGUGAUAAAACGGUAAAUAGUGCAUUUGUCCGUAAUGUACAGACGAUAGGAAAAUUUUAAUUCCAAACGGCUAAACAAUUAACAUUGACAUUGACUUCAGCAAAGACUUGCUAUUUUUGUUGAGAUGAUCAUUGAAGAAAUCAAAAAGCAUUCCAAAAUAUAAGUGUUUUUUUCUCGUAUGUAAAUAAUUCUUUUACAUUUAUGAAUUAUGCUCGGUGAAUAUAAAAUUAAUGAAAACAGAAAUAUUCUUCCUGCAAUGAA